rnacentral:rRNA from 1 species
GACGAACGCUGGCGGCGUGCUUAACACAUGCAAGUCGAACGGAAAGGCCCUGCUUUUGUGGGGUGCUCGAGUGGCGAACGGGUGAGUAACACGUGAGUAACCUGCCCUUGACUUUGGGAUAACUUCAGGAAACUGGGGCUAAUACCGGAUAGGAGCUCCUGCUGCAUGGUGGUGGUUGGACAGUUUCGGCGGUUGGGGGUGGACUCGCGGCUAAUCAGCUUGUUGGUGGGGGAUUGGCUUACCAAGUCUUAGGCGGGUAGCCGGCACGAGAGGUGGAACGCGGACCAUGGGACUGAGAUACGCAGCAGAGUCGUACGGGAGGCAGUAGUGGGGAAUAUGGCACAGCGGGCGGAAGCCUGAGGAGGCAACGUCGGGAGCGUGAUGACGGCCAUCUGGGGGUAAACCGCUUUCGCUUGUUACGAUGCGUGAGUGACGGUAAUGGGUGAAGAAGCACCGGCUAACUACGUG